rnacentral:rRNA from 1 species
AGAAUCAACGCUGGCGGCGUGCCUAACACAUGCAAGUCGCACGAGAAAGGGGACUUCGGUCCCUGAGUACAGUGGCGCACGGGUGAGUAACACGUGAAUAAUCUACCUCCGAGUGGGGAAUAACUGAGAGAAAUCUUAGCUAAUACCGCAUAACACUUACGAGUCAAAGCAGCAAUGCGCUUGGAGAGGAGUUCGCGGCAGAUUAGUUAGUUGGCGGGGUAAUGGCCCACCAAGACGAUGAUCUGUAUCCGGCCUGAGAGGGCGCACGGACACACUGGAACUGAAACACGGUCCAGACUCCUACGGGAGGCAGCAGUGGGGAAUUUUGCGCAAUGGGGGAAACCCUGACGCAGCAACGCCGCGUGGAGGAUGAAAUCCCUUGGGAUGUAAACUCCUUUCGAUCGGGAAGAUAAUGACGGUACCGAGAGAAGAAGCCCCGCUAACUUCGUGCCAGCAGCCGC